rnacentral:rRNA from 1 species
GCAGUCGUGGGGAAACGGCAUUAUGUGCUUGCACAUUCUGGACGUCGACCGGCGCACGGGUGAGUAUCGCGUAUCCAACCUGCCCCUUACUUGGGGAUACCCCGUUGAAAGACGGCCUAAUACCCGAUGUGUUUCAUUGACGGCAUCCGAUAUGAAACAAAGGUUUUUCCGGUAAGGGAUGGGGAUG